CUACGGGGCGCAGCAGUGGGGAAUAUUGGACAGUGGGGGAAACCCUGAUCCAGCAAUGCCGCGUGUGUGAAGAAGGCCUGCGGGUUGUAAAGCACUUUCGGUUGGGAGGACUGCUUCUAGCACUAAUAUUGUUGGAAGUUGACGUUACCUUCAGAAGAAGCACCGGCUAACUCCGUGCCAGCAGCCGCGGUAAUACGGAGGGUGCAGGCGUUAAUCGGAAUUACUGGGCGUAAAGCGCGCGUAGGCGGCUAGAUCAGUCGGGUGUGAAAGCCCCGGGCUUAACCUGGGAACUGCAUCCGAUACUGUCUAGCUUGAGUACAGGAGAGGAGAGUGGAAUUCCACAUGUAGCGGUGAAAUGCGUAGAUAUGUGGAGGAACACCAGUGGCGAAGGCAGCUCUCUGGCCUGAUACUGACGCUGAGGUGCGAAAGCGUGGGGAGCAAACAGGAUUAGAUACCCGGGUAGUC
rnacentral:rRNA from 1 species